rnacentral:rRNA from 1 species
AAACCGUURAAAGGGAAGCGAAUGGAGUUAGCAAUUCGCCCUGCCAGAUUCAGUUGUUCGCACUUYGCGACGUGCACGYUCUCGAUCCGCAUGGACGAGACGUGCACGGACGCGACGUGUGGACGGCGCACUUCUGGCGGGCGAGCGUCAGCGUCGCUCGUCGACGGGCGACAAGGUCGCGAGGAAGGUAGACGUGCCUUCGGGCGCGUUGUUAAGACUCGCGUUCGCAURGCUCGACGACGACCGUGGCUCCUUCAUGCGGAGGCGACGCGUGCCUGGCUGGCGACUCGUGCGAUCGGUCCGGCAUGUCGACCGUGGCGGACGGCACGCCUGUGCGCUCGAACUGCUGCCGGUCGCUCGCACGAUGUUCGCACACUACGCGUCSAAGACGCUGACGACCAUACGGCUCCAUCCGACCCGUCUUGAAACACGGACCAAGGAGUCUAACAUGUGCGCGAGUCUCCGGGUGAUCGAAACCCGUGGGCGCAAUGAAAGUAAAGGCC